rnacentral:rRNA from 1 species
AGUGAACGCUGGCGGUAGGCCUAACACAUGCAAGUCGAACGGCAGCACAGUAAGAGCUUGCUCUUACGGGUGGCGAGUGGCGGACGGGUGAGGAAUACAUCGGAAUCUACUUUUUCGUGGGGGAUAACGUAGGGAAACUUACGCUAAUACCGCAUACGACCUACGGGUGAAAGCAGGGGAUCUUCGGACCUUGCGCGAUUGAAUGAGCCGAUGUCGGAUUAGCUAGUUGGCGGGGUAAAGGCCCACCAAGGCGACGAUCCGUAGCUGGUCUGCGAGGAUGAUCAGCCACACUGGAACUGAGACACGCGCCAGACUCCUACGGGAGUCAGCAGUGGGGAAUAUUGGACAAAGGGCGCAAGCCUGAUCCAGCCAUACCGCGUGGGUGAAGAAGGCCUUCGGGUUGUAAAGCCCUUUUGUUGGGAAAGAAAAGCAGCAGGUUAAUACCCCGCUGUUCUGACGGUACCCAAAGAAUAAGCACCGGCUAACUUCGUG